rnacentral:lncRNA from 1 species
AGGACCGAGGGGGUGAUGAGCUUUGGACCACUGAGUUGCUUUAGCAAUCCAAAUAAAAACAAAGGUUGGGACCUCAUUCGUAUGAAGCGGAUCCAGCUCUAGUUACCAUGACACCAUGACAAUCAACUUGUUUACUGCUUCAAGGUAUCCAUACCAUGAACAUGGUAUCAUGUUCACAUUUUGUGCAUGUGAAAAGAGAGUGGUUGCAUAUGUGAUGGGACGGGGUGUAGGACACCAAAAUUUAGCAAUACCUGUGUGUGGAAAAGAGAGGCCAGCAUCAUCUUUUGUCCUCCUUCCCCUGCCAGGACAGCCACUUUUGCUCUGGGAUACAGUCUUUACAGCCUUGAUGACAUCCAAAGAGUCUCCUCUCUGCAUGCCAGGGCAGAAAUAAUUCAUCUUUAAGACAGAAAUAUGAUCAAAAAAGUAUAUGCUGGAAAAUACUCAAACUCACUUUGUGCAUUUAUAAAUCUGCUUCCUAUUGGAAUCAGGGGACACUGGGCAUUUUAGAUGCUAAAAUGCUUAAGUAACUUUCAGAAACCUGCUGCCAAAAUGACUAGAGAUAGAAAGUUGAAAAUUGGUAUGUUAUGACAUUCGCUUUAGCAGAGGUGCCCACGCUCUUCCCACAGCAAAAUGACUUUAAUUUGCCCAACCUCAGAGUCCUUGAAAAUGACACUCUGAGCAUUUGCUGUAAUGAUUUCUCACUAAAUUAGAAAAAUGCCCAACUAAGGAGGGAUUAUCUCUGCAUGUGGAUGUGGCAUAAUGACUGUCAAGUGCACUGAGAGCCCCACUGGGCUUUGCAAGGUACACAGGGUCUGCAUCAGAGGCCAGCGUGCAUCAGAGAAUAUUAAUACUGUCUUGUUGGGGCCAUCCAUUGUGAUACUCCACUGCUGUUCAGACAAAAUUAUACCAUAUGAGGGAAUUCUCUUUGCUACUUUACAUAUAUGAGGUACAUUUUAGAGCUGAGGAUUAGUUCCAAAUUGUCUGGCUGACAAACUCAGUCCAUAAAGGAUGCAGUCAUGAGUGUGUCCACACUCUGUAAUGUGUGCACUGACUGGGGCAGCAUCACUACAGGAUUGUUCCUUGCAGCCCACAGCCGCUGUGCCUGGGGUGAGGAUGAUAGUGAGCUUGAUUCUGCAUACCCAUAAAGUUUUCCAGCUGCUCUCUCAGAUCCCAUCAGCU